rnacentral:piRNA from 1 species
UUACCUGUCAGACUAGACUUUGGU